GUGGGGAAUAUUGGACAAUGGGCGCAAGCCUGAUCCAGCCAUGCCGCGUGAGUGAUGAAGGCCUUAGGGUUGUAAAGCUCUUUCAGUGGGGACGAUAAUGACGGUACCCACAGAAGAAGCCCCGGCUAACUUCGUGCCAGCAGCCGCGGUAAUACGAAGGGGGCUAGCGUUGUUCGGAUUUACUGGGCGUAAAGCGCACGUAGGCGGAUCGUUAAGUCGGGGGUGAAAUCCUGGAGCUCAACUCCAGAACUGCCUUCGAUACUGGCGAUCUUGAGUCCGGAAGAGGUGAGUGGAACUCCUAGUGUAGAGGUGGAAUUCGUAGAUAUUAGGAAGAACACCAGUGGCGAAGGCGGCUCACUGGUCCGGUACUGACGCUGAGGUGCGAAAGCGUGGGGAGCAAACAGGAUUAGAAACCCUAGUAGUCC
rnacentral:rRNA from 1 species